rnacentral:lncRNA from 1 species
GCUUUUAUAUUACAUUUUUAUUUUGCAAGAAAAUAAAUUAUACAACUUAAAAAAUAAAAUCCAAAAAUUAAGCAGUUCAUCAAAAUAUUUCAGCCUACUGCAUACAGAAACUGCUACCACUUAAAAUUGUACAGCAUUAUCAUCUCAGUAUGUAGUGGCACACAUUCAAAAUCGUAUAGACCAUAUGAGGAUAGAUUACAACUUAGAAACUAAAAUAAAUUUGUUCAACACUCCAGACAACAUAUAGUGUAGAUGACAGGAAAGCUCUCAUGUAAUGUUUAUUUCACAAACAUGACCUUGGAAGAAUUCAUAAGACAGCAUCCCAGUCACUUACAUGAGAACAGAAAAACCAGCUUGAGUUUAAGAUAGCAAAUCUUUCUGUAAAACUAGCAAAUCUUUCACCCAGACUGAAGUUUUAAAAUUUGCCCUUUGAGCAGUGCUAGAGACAUCUUACUGCAAAUAAUGCAAAAUACUUUUUAACUACUCAGGUCAUAUUUUCUAUUAAAUUUAAUAAAAAGUAAAAGAAAGAAAGCUAACAUUUCAUUUUUGGAAGGUUUAACAUUUAUGCACAAAAUAAGAGCAAGAGACUUAAAUAAAAAAGUUGACAGAACUCAGGGACCCCUCCAAUAAAUGUAAAAAUUGGAAGACUUCAGAAUUUAUUUCAAGAUCCUCAUUUAAUCAUUGGAAUAGUAAUAUUCUAAUAUUUAUCUCAUUGUGACCAUCAAAAUUUUUCUAUAUUUUUACUUCUUAAACUCUGUCUUAUGUCUACUUACUCCGGCAACGAGAUGGCAACACAAGUUAACAUUUUCCAGAUGGGAUGUCUCUGUCUUUAAACUAGAAGAUGGGUAUUCAGAGGUUAAGAUAGCCUCUGAAGUGUCUUAUUGCCAUACCACUAAUUUUUAAAAAUUAAAUUUUUUUUUUUUUUUUGGAGGGGGAGGCUGGAUUUUCUUUUCACUUAACUGCAGGUUAUAUCCCUGCUCGGCACCAAUUUUAAGUGUACGCUGGAGAGAAGAGACCUGAAUAAAGGAUGCCAACUGUGAUUCCAGACCUUUACAAACUGCUGGUGACUGAUUCAAACCUGAGGCUACAAAUCCCUAAUCAUGAGACCUUAAAAUACCAAAAUACUUCUAUGCUACAGAUUAAGAGAUCAGUUACAUAACUAUAUCAGAGCAGGAGAUUUCUGUGUUGUUUUUAAUAAAUUCAGAUAUGGCAUAAUAAAUAUUAGGUAUAUAAACAUUAAGUGUGUUAGUAAACACACAAUAUGUUUAGUAAACACACUUAAUAUGUUUGUUUUGCUAUUUUGGCUCUGCAAUCAUAAUGACCUACCUAUCUCCAUAAAUUUUUUAAACUAUUGAAGCAACAAUUAAUAUAAGCUUCAUUUUUCAAAACAAGCUUUCCAGCCAUAUUUAAAAAAAA